CAGCGGCUCUAUAAAAGUUGGUAACUCAAAAUGCAAAGUGAUGCACCUCUUACACAUCCAGUUACAGCUCAGCAAUCAAAUAAGCUGUCAUCCUUUAAUUAAAUUUUACUUCUGCUAGCCUGGUGGGGAGAUGCUACCUGAGGAUGGAUUCUCUUUGGUGUGUUGUGUGGAGUCUGGCCAGCUGUGGUGAUGGGAUGGAGCUGCAGUACCAGCUCAGCACUGGGUCCUACCCUGCUCAGUUGACAUCAGAAAAUUAUACGCAUGAAUCACGGAAGCAAUUGUGCAAUGGAGACCUGUGUUCACUCUCCGGCUCCUGCGGAAAACAGGGACUACAAUAGGAAGCCAGUUCAAGAAUAGCAGCUAUGAAAUCCUCCUCUUUGGCUUUUGGGAAGCAAUUCUUUGGAAUGACAUGGCACACACCAGUGAGGCUGGGUUGCACGUGAAAUCAAAGAAACAUAUUAACAGCAUUGGCUAUAACAGAACUUCUACACAUCCCUCGGCAGAUAGUGCUCCCAGCAUUUUCCUUGGUAUCAAGCAGGCAUGUUCAGAAGCUUCCUAUAUUCAGGAGUUUACGAGCACAAAACCAUCUGCAGAUAUCUAUAGGUAUGAUGAACAGCCUGCAUGCACCCUUCUAAAGCAGAAACAAGCUGGAGAACUGUCUAAGUUAUGCAGUGCACGCUCAAGAAUCUCAGCUACAAGAUAUCUGUGCUUUAUCGGAGGUUUUCCUCUUAGUCUGUGGGUGUGUAGAAAGAAGAAGCUCCACUUGGGAAGUAAGGUAGCUCUUUGGCAGCUCUUCCUGUGGGUGACUUCCCAAACUUUAGAUUAGAGUUAACAUGGUAACUAAGCACUGGCUUGAAAUGAAAAGUCUAGUCUGGGUCCACACUCCAUCAAAAUCAAAGAGCUAGUGCAAAGAGAUUUUUAACUCCAUCUCUAAUUUUAUCUGCUAAUCUGAAACUCUUGGGUUAUGAAAUGGCAGAAUCAUUAAGUGCCUGCAGGUUUUCAAGCUUCAACCUGUGUUUUCCAGCACCAUGUGGGUUUUAUUUAGUUUUGCAUCAGUUUUCACAAGUGCUGCUUGAACCUUCACUUAAAGUGUUUCUAGAACCAUCACAGAAAGGCUUGAGCCUAGCAGCCAGAGAUCAUAUCAAGUGAGACACAGAAAUCAAAGCUCCCAUGGAAACUUCAAAGCUGAGGCACCUCCUUAUGGAUACCACUUCUUAUUGGACAUUUCCUGGAGUUUCCCUCCAUCAGAGAAUCGUUAAGAUUGGAAAGACUGCUAAGAACCAUUGACCCAUCACCACCAUGCACUAAACCAUGUCACUCAAUGGGACAUCUGCCCUCUUCUUGGGCACCUCCUGGGAUGGUGACCCAACCACCUCCCUGGGUGCCCUGUUCCAACACUUCACCAUCACUCGCAUGCAGGCUGGAGAAUCUGAAGUGAAGACUACAGCCAGGUGAUGCAGUAGAGCCAUUGUAUUUCCCAUAAUUUUGUAUAAAGUUACUCUCUUUGUUUAAACAGAUUCCCUUCUUUUUCUCUCAGCCGUGGUAUUUCAAGCAUGAUCAUCUAGGGUUCAAGUGAGGCAAUAGCUUUUAGGAGCAGAAAGUUUAUCUUAUGUAGGAUCAGCGUAAGACAACAGAUAAGCAUCCAGGCACGCAAGGCCAGACGCACUGAAAGGAAUGGCUUAUUUGAAAAGCUUGUCCUCUCUCUCCAGCUUUGUUAGUUUGUGUGCAGAAAGUACUUCUCCCUGCAAAAAAGCCUUGGCCACUCUUGAAAUGCUACAGAGGAGUUUGGGACAUGGCAGUUUGGUUUCCCUGUCAGGAAGUGCUGCUGGACUGUUUUCCAAGAGCUGGAAUGCCAGCCAUAAACACGAGUUAUAUAGAGGUCUCAUGGACUUGGAUGGGAGCAGAUCUGUGUUUUGCACUGCGGACGCUCAAGGCCAUUCCUUGGCCAUGUUACAGGAGCAAUAUUUAUGCAAGGAUGAAACGCGGCGUUGUCAAAGCAUUUGGACAAAUUGAAUACUUUGUUUUCCCUUGCUAUUAUUUAUAAUAGCUCUCUUUGGAAAAAAAAUAAAAAUAAAAAAAAUUAGUUUUUCGAUGAAGGA
rnacentral:lncRNA from 1 species